rnacentral:rRNA from 1 species
GACGAACGCGGCGGCGUGCCUAAUACAUGCAAGUCGAACGAACCGCGACUAAGUGCUUGCACUAAGUCAAGGUGAGUGGCGAACGGGUGAGUAACACGUGGGUAACCUACCCCAUAGUGGGGGAUAACAGUCGGAAACGACUGCUAAUACCGCAUAGGACAUGGAAUCACAUGAUUCCGUGAGGAAAGGUGGCGCAAGCUAUCGCUAAGAGAUGGACCCGCGGUGCAUUAGCUAGUUGGUAGGGUAAAGGCCUACCAAGGCGAUGAUGCAUAGCCGACCUGAGAGGGUGAUCGGCCACAUUGGGACUGAGACACGGCCCAAACUCCUACGGGAGGCAGCAGUAGGGAAUCUUCCGCAAUGGACGCAAGUCUGACGGAGCAACGCCGCGUGAGUGAAGAAGGUCUUCGGAUCGUAAAGCUCUGUUGUUAGAGAAGAACAGCGCAUAGAGUAAACUGUUAUGCGU